GGGCCGUGUGCGCGUGUGUCACGCAGCUGCGCACCUCCUCCUCCCAGGGCGCCGUUGUUUCAUUUGCGCCAUUUUGUCCGCUCACUUUGUUGAUUGGGCUUUAGCGAGCUGUACUGGAGCCAAUCAGAGGGAAACCGGACAGCGAAGAGACGAGAAGAGGGUUGUGUCAAUAAUAAGCUAUGGAGCAGUACACCACUGCCACCACCACUACAGGGGAGCAGAUAGUUGUGCAGACUACAAAUGGACAGAUCCAGCAGCAGACACAGGGCACAGUGACGGCUGUGCAGCUGCAAACAGAGGCGCCAGUGGUGACGGCCUCAGGCCAGCAGGUGCAGACACUCCAGGUAGUCCAGGGGCAGCCUCUGAUGGUCCAGGUGAGCGGUGGGCAGCUCAUCACAUCAUCAGGGCAACCCAUCAUGGUGCAGGCCAUGUCAGGGGGUCAGGGGCAAACCAUAAUGCAGGUCCCUGUAUCUGGAGCUCAGGGACUACAGCAGAUCCAGCUUGUGCAGCCGGGUCAGAUCCAGUUGCAGGGCGGUCAGACUCUCCAGCUUCAGGGCCAGCAGGGUCAGCCCCAGCAGAUCAUCAUCCAGCAGCCCCAAACGGCCAUCACUGCUGGACAGAACCAGGGGCAGCAGAUCAGCGUGCAGGGCCAGCAGGUAGCACAGACAGCUGACGGGCAGACCAUCGUCUACCAGCCUGUCAAUGCAGAUGGAACUGUCCUGCAGCAAGGAAUGAUCACAAUUCCAGCUUCCAGCUUGGCCGGUGCCCAGAUUGUACAGGCAGGGGGUGCCAACACCAACACCACCAACAGCGGCCAAGGCACUGUGACCGUCACCCUGCCCGUUACUGGCAACAUGGUUAAUGCAGGUGGAAUGGUCAUGGUAAGACCCUGUGCAGAGAUGGUCCCUGGAGGAGGCGCAGUUCCUGCAAUGCAACGUAUUCCCCUGCCAGGGGCUGAGAUGCUCGAGGAGGAGCCUCUUUAUGUCAAUGCAAAACAGUACCAUCGAAUUCUGAAGCGACGACAAGCCCGGGCCAAGCUGGAGGCCGAGGGCAAGAUCCCCAAAGAAAGGAGGAAAUACCUGCAUGAGUCUCGCCACCGUCACGCUAUGCAGCGUAAGCGAGGAGAUGGAGGACGCUUCUUUUCCCCCAAGGACAAAGAGGAAAUGGCAUUGGCCCUGUCACAGGUGUGACAAGAAGCUGUGUCUAGAAAAGCACCACCUUUACAUCAUCACCCAGUAAUAAAAAAAAAAAUACUGACUCAAGCCUCAGCAGGACCUAGCCCAGGCAGCAGCAGAUGAAACGGUGGCUCAAAUGAUCCGAGUCUCAUAGCACAGUCCCAGACAUCCUCUGCCUGUGAACUUUACCCUGCCUGAGACUCUUCAUCACAGCUGAAUCAUCUGCCACAACUUCUCUUCUUACAUUUUUCCUGCCCCACCUCCACAGCGCCACCACUGGGUUUCUUCUGUUAUCUCUCUACUUCUGCACUGGUCUUCCAGGGAGCUGGUCAUGUGGCUGUUGAGCCUCUAAAAUGGAGGAUGCUUCCAUGCUCAGCUUUACUGGUCAAGCACUUUGGACCAGCUUUUUAUUUUGAAAAGGAUUUGUUUGGACAGUAAUGAAACAUAGAGUCAUGGGUCACCCGUGUGAAUCACACAGAAGAAAAGGAAAGCUGUGAAGCCAUACUCUGUCAGACUCUGGUCUGGUAAAAAUUAUUAGAAUUUGUUACUAAUGGAUUCUUGUUGCUUUAAAUAGUUUUUUUGUAAAUGGUACAGAUUUUUUUUUUCAGAGAUGCUCAUAUAGCCCAGUGUCCACUGUCUUUUAUGUGAUGUCCCGUAUUUUUUUGACAUUUGAUUUUUUCCAACCCAUGAGUUGAGGGGGAUGGACUCAGCAGCAUAAGAGCAACCUGUGUCCAAAGAGAAAAGACUGAAAUGUGAUGAAUAUGUGCAGAUGUUGUAAAGAAUUCUUUUCUUCCCUGGUGUGUUUUUGAUGUACUUAAUAUUUCAAUUCAAUACAAUUCUGUGGAUGCAUUUUAUACAGUUCGUAGUCAGACUUUUGUUAUUGUGGGAAAAAAAUGGCUGUGUUGCAUCACAUUACAUAUUUUAUCCAUAUAGUCACGUCGUCAUUGAUCAGUCCACACAAAUGUUGUUUUUUUUCAUUGUAGAUAACAGAUAUUUUUUACCCAUCUGAUGCAGACUUCUGAUGUUAUUUUUUUUUAUAUUGAAAAAAGAUUGGAUGUUGAAUUCAUGAAAACUAUGUCAAUUAAAUUUUAUUAAGUGA